GAUGAACGCUAGCGGCAGGCCUAAUACAUGCAAGUCGAACGAUACCAGAGAGCUUGCUUUCUGGGAAAGUGGCGCACGGGUGCGUAACGCGUAUGCAACCUACCUUAAUCAGGGGGAUAGCCUCUCGAAAGAGAGAUUAACACCGCAUAACAUCAUUUUACGGCAUCGUAGAAUGAUCAAAUAUUUAUAGGAUUAAGAUGGGCAUGCAUGACAUUAGCUAGUUGGUGAGGUAACGGCUCACCAAGGCUACGAUGUCUAGGGGAUCUGAGAGGGUGACCCCCCACACUGGUACUGAGACACGGACCAGACUCCUACGGGAGGCAGCAGUAAGGAAUAUUGGUCAAUGGAGGCAACUCUGAACCAGCCAUGCCGCGUGCAGGAAGACGGCCCUAUGGGUUGUAAACUGCUUUUAUACGGGAAUAAACCUCUCUACGUGUAAGGAGUUGAAUGUACUGUAAGAAUAAGGAUCGGCUAACUCCGUGCCAGCCGCCGCCGUAA
rnacentral:rRNA from 1 species